rnacentral:lncRNA from 1 species
GACCCAACAACAAUCUAACCAUGUACAACCUAGAACCUGAAGAUUGGGUCUUUGGAAAUUAUACCACAAAAAGACUGCUUUCGAAGUUUGUUGGAAGAGACCAUACCAAGUUCUACCCACAUGGCAGUAUAACUUAAGGGUCUCGAGGCUUAGAUCCACUUUUCUCAAUCUAACAGAACCCCUUCAGAAUCUUGGGACUGUAAACCCACUGAAGACCCCAAGCCCAUGGCAGACAUCCAGCUGAUCACACUGUGUCCACAUAAGGCAAAUGCUGAGCUGUAAUCCAUCAAGCUGUUUCCGCAUAGAGAAAAGGCCAUAUGAGUACACAGCCAGAAGGUGUCUGCCUACAAGACAAAGAGGGAAAACUUACCUGAAACCAACCCUGAUGGAUAUUGGAUUUCUAAGCUCCAGAACUGUGAGAAAAUUAAUUUUAUGUGCUUUAAGACACUCAAUUUGUGGUAUUCUGUUAUGGCAGCCUAUGCUAGUCAAUUUGCAUUACCAUAAAGCAACACCUGAGAGUGGGUAAAUUAUAAAGAAAAGAAGUUGAAUCGGCUCAUGGUUCUGCAGGCAGUACAGAAGCAUAGUGCUGGCAAUUGCCCCUGGCAAGGGGCUCAGGAAGCUUACAAACAUGGCAGAAGGCAAAGGGAAGCCAACAUAUCACACGUAAGCUCAGGAAGCUUACAAACAUGGCAGAAGGCAAAGGGAAGCCAACAUAUCACGUGGCGAGAAAGACAGAGAAGCGGUAGGUCCCAGACUCUUUUAAACAACAAGACCUCAUGUGAACUGAGGGGAAACUCACUUUCACCAAGGAGAUGGUGCUAAACCACUAAUGAGGGAUCUGUCCCAUGAGCCAAUCACCUCCCACCAAGACCUACCUCCAAUUUUGGAAAUUAUAUUUCAACAUGAGAUUUGGAGGGGACAAACAUCCAAACCAUAUCCCAGCCUGAGCAGACUAACAGAGUCUCUGAAUAAAUCUAUGAAAAUGACUAGAGUAUUAUUUUGUUGAGUGAUUUCUUCUUGUAUUAGGAUUGGUCUCCUUGAAAAUAUUUUUCUCAUAUCUGUUAUAAUAAAAUACUGAGAAUCAUACUAAUUCUACUCUAAACUUAGAUAUUUAAGAGGGUUGGAUUUGACUGAUUGCUCUGAUGUUGCUAACAUAGUCAAAGACUUUUCAAAACUAAAGUGUAAUAUUAUGUCAUGCAACCUUGAGAAAAUUACAAUGGACAAAGCAGAACUAUAAUUCACAAUUCAUCUCCCAAACAAAUUGUGACACCCCUUCUUUCCAAUCCACUGAAAUAUGCCUAAAAUGAGAAAAAAGGGAAAUCUUAAAAACAACAACAACAACAACAAAGAAAAAACAGAAAACGGCAACAUUCAGGCAAAAAAGAAUGUGAGGACUAUGAUGCUGGCAUGCUAAACUUAAUUAAUAAUAAAUGAGAGAGUUUGGAAUGAU